AUAUCAAUAAGCGGAGGAAAAGAAACCAACAGGGAUUGCCCUAGUAACGGCGAGUGAAGCGGCAACAGCUCAAAUUUGAAAUCUGGCCCCAGGCCCGAGUUGUAAUUUGCAGAGGAUGCUUUUGGCAAAGCGCAUACCGAGUCCCCUGGAACGGGGCGCCACAGAGGGUGAGAGCCCCGUAUGGUACGACGCCGAGCCUCUGUAAAGCUCCUUCGACGAGUCGAGUAGUUUGGGAAUGCUGCUCUAAAUGGGAGGUAAAUUUCUUCUAAAGCUAAAUACCGGCCAGAGACCGAUAGCGCACAAGUAGAGUGAUCGAAAGAUGAAAAGCACUUUGAAAAGAGGGUUAAAUAGCACGUGAAAUUGUUGAAAGGGAAGCGCUCGUGACCAGACUUGCGCCGGGCGGAUCAUCCAGCGUUCUCGCUGGUGCACUCCGCCCGGCUCAGGCCAGCAUCGGUUUUCGCCGGGGGACAAAAGCUUCGGGAACGUGGCUCCCUUCGGGGAGUGUUAUAGCCCGUYGUUUAAUACCCCGGCGGGGACCGAGGACCGCGCUUCGGCAAGGAUGCUGGCGUAAUGGUCAUCAGCGACCCGUCUUGAAACACGGACCGAGGAGUCAAGCAUUAGUGCGAGUGUUUGGGUGUAAAACCCGCACGCGUAAUGAAAGUGAACGUAGGUGAGAGCUUCGGCGCAUCAUCGACCGAUCCUGAUGUUUUCGGAUGGAUUUGAGUAGGAGCAUUAACGCUUGGACCCGAAAGAUGGUGAACUAUACUUGAAUAGGGUGAAGCCAGAGGAAACUCUGGUGGAGGCUCGCAGCGGUUCUGACGUGCAAAUCGAUCGGCAAAUGUGCAGUAUGU
rnacentral:rRNA from 1 species